ACACGUAUCCAACCUGCCCUUUACUCGGGGAUAGCCUUUCGAAAGAAAGAUUAAUACCCGAUGGCAUAAUGAUUCCGCAUGGUUUCAUUAUUAAAGGAUUCCGGUAAAGGAUGGGGAUGCGUUCCAUUAGGUUGUUGGUGAGGUAACGGCUCACCAAGCCUUCGAUGGAUAGGGGUUCUGAGAGGAAGGUCCCCCACAUUGGAACUGAGACACGGUCCAAACUCCUACGGGAGGCAGCAGUGAGGAAUAUUGGUCAAUGGGCGCUAGCCUGAACCAGCCAAGUAGCGUGAAGGAUGAAGGCUCUAUGGGUCGUAAACUUCUUUUAUAUAAGAAUAAAGUGCAGUAUGUAUACUGUUUUGUAUGUAUUAUAUGAAUAAGGAUCGGCUAACUCCGUGCCAGCAGCCGCGGUAAUACGGAGGAUCCGAGCGUUAUCCGGAUUUAUUGGGUUUAAAGGGAGCGUAGGUGGACUGGUAAGUCAGUUGUGAAAGUUUGCGGCUCAACCGUAAAAUUGCAGUUGAUACUGUCAGUCUUGAGUACAGUAGAGGUGGGCGGAAUUCGUGGUGUAGCGGUGAAAUGCUUAGAUAUCACGAAGAACUCCGAUUGCGAAGGCAGCUCACUGGACUGCAACUGACACUGAUGCUCGAAAGUGUGGGUAUCAAACAGGAUUAGAUACCCUGGUAGUCCACACAGUAAACGAUGAAUACUCGCUGUUUGCGAUAUACAGUAAGCGGCCAAGCGAAAGCAUUAAGUAUUCCACCUGGGGAGUACGCCGGCAACGGUGAAACUCAAAGGAAUUGACGGGGGCCCGCACAAGCGGAGGAACAUGUGGUUUAAUUCGAUGAUACGCGAGGAACCUUACCCGGGCUUAAAUUGCAGUGGAAAUGAUGUGGAAACAUGUCAGUGAGCAAAUCACCGCUGUGAGUGCUGCAUGAUUGUCG
rnacentral:rRNA from 1 species